rnacentral:lncRNA from 1 species
UAAAUUUUCGGAUUGUGGAUUGGUGGCAGUUUGGUGGUCGAGUGCGAGUUCGGGCCGAACCGGGCGGCGUGUAUCGCGGGAGGCCGAUUGCAAGUGAUUACAAGCAAUCGGAAAGCGAUUUGAGGUGGGUUAUGCUCGCCGAAAUGUUUAGCUCACUUCCAUGCCAAAGUGAAGUGUGAAUAUUGUUGAUGCAUAUGUAGUUGGUAGGGUGUAUGUGAUAAUAUGAAGUGCAUAAAUCAUGUUAUACUAGAUGUUGU